CGCGUGCACUGGUUCGGCCGGGCCUUUCCCUCUGGGGAACCGCAUGCCCUUCACUGGGUGUGUCGGGGAACCAGGACUUUUACUUUGAACAAAUUAGAUCGCUUAAAGAAGGCCUAUGCUCGAAUACAUUAGCAUGGAAUAAUAGAAUAGGACGUGUGGUUCUAUUUUGUUGGUUUCUAGGACCGCCGUAAUGAUUAAUAGGGACAGUCGGGGGCAUCAGUAUUCAAUUGUCAGAGGUGAAAUUCUUGGAUUUAUUGAAGACUAACUACUGCGAAAGCAUUUGCCAAGGAUGUUUUCAUUAAUCAGGAACGAAAGUUAGGGGAUCGAAGACGAUCAGAUACCGUCGUAGUCUUAACCAUAAACUAUGCCGACUAGGGAUCGGACGAUGUUAUAUUUUGACUCGUUCGGCACCUUACACGAAAGUAAAGUUUCUGGGUUCUGGGGGGAGUAUGGUCGCAAGGCUGAAACUUAAAGAAAUUGACGGAAGGGCACCACCAGGGGUGGAGCCUGCGGCUUAAUUUGACUCAACACGGGGAAACUCACCAGGUCCAGACACAAGUAGGAUUGACAGAUUGAGAGCUCUUUCUUGAUUUUGUGGGUGGUGGUGCAUGGCCGUUCUUAGUUGGUGGAGUGAUUUGUCUGCUUAAUUGCGAUAACGAACGAGACCUUAACCUGCUAAAUAGCCCGUAUUGCUUUGGGCAGUACGCUGGCUUCUUAGAGGGACUAUCGG
rnacentral:rRNA from 1 species